rnacentral:rRNA from 1 species
AUUGAACGCUGGCGGCAGGCCUAACACAUGCAAGUCGAACGAGUGGCGGACGGGUGAGUAAUGUCUGGGAAACUGCCUGAUGGAGGGGGAUAACUACUGGAAACGGUAGCUAAUACCGCAUACCAUCGGAUGUGCCCAGAUGGGAUUAGCUAGUGGGUGGGGUAAAGGCUCACCUAGGCGACGAUCCCUAGCUGGUCUGAGAGGAUGACCAGCCACCGUGGAACUGAGAGCCGGUCCAGACUCCUACGGGAGGCAGCAGUGGGGAAUAUUGCACAAUGGGCGCAAGCCUGAUGCAGCCAUGCCGCGUGUAUGAAGAAGGCCUUCGGGUUGUAAAGUACUUUCAGCGGGGAGGCGUUACCCGCAGAAGAGGCACCGGCGAAGUCCGUACCAGCCGCCGCGGUAAUAC